rnacentral:lncRNA from 1 species
CCCACCUUCUACCUUUUCUGCACCUGCAUUCGAAAGUGAUCAUGGUCUGUCUGUGUCCUGGUCAUUGAUAGUGCAGGGAGAGGCGUUGCUGAAAGCGCUUCCCCGUGUUUGGAGGGUCCCUUCCUGUCCCUUCCAAACUCUGGAGCUUUCCCACACUUCCUCCUCCUCACCACCUUUUAAGUGCCUCUGGGCACCUGCUGUAUUUCUUGCAUGCUCUCUGCCUGGUUCAGGACGAUUUCUGUUUCUGUGAGUCUUUAAAAAGGGACAAGAGCGUGGGUCCUGUCUCAGUGCAUGUCUGAGUUGGUUGUGGCCCCACAGCUGUGGUCUUCUGACACUGGUCUCUAAUUUCAGCAGCCCUGUGUCCUUUUCUGCCUGUGUUUGAGGGGUUUACAGGCUGCCUGUGUCCUGAUGAUUGGUAAUGCAGGCAAAGGAAAAGUUGCCAGGCUUUCUUUACGUUCAGGGGUUCCAGAAUGGGGCAGCCUUAGGUGACGGAGCACGAGGUAGAGGGAGGCAGGCGUUCAGCGCAUUCACCUCCUAAGACCCAGAUUCCCCCAGUGUUUUCCUGCUGGUGAGCAUAGCGGUUUCCUGGACAUGUAAAGCAGUGCCAAGUGCUUCUUGUCCCCUGCAGGAGUGUGUCGUGACUGCUGUUCCAUGUAUGUGAGAGGCGAUGUCAGGAAAACCUGGAUCAGGAGGUCCCAGGUGGGUCUGCAGGUGCAGAGGCUCCGUGAGAGGUGUCGUCUUACCAGCUGGGGGCUAGGCCCUGGGGCCCGAGGUCGGCCUUAGAUCUGGAACUGUUGAAGGAAGUCCCAAGGCCGUGAGUCCCUGACCUUUGGGAUGACUUGGCAUCUGGGUUUGCCGAUAUGUCUCCCCAAGAUUCUCUUGGUGUUAGUGGACAGCAGAGGAGCAGAGGAUGGAGAGGGAGUCCCCGCGGGAAGCGUCAUCUCCUGCCGUGACUCAGGGCAUCAUGGAUCAGCUCUUCACACAGGAGAUGAGAGGGAAGGAGCUGGGGCUGGGCUCCACGUCAGCUGGCUCUGAGUCUUGACAGCAGUGCCCCGAGAAGCCAUGGACAGGGAAGGC